rnacentral:rRNA from 1 species
UACGGGGGGGGCAAGCGUUGUUCGGAAUUACUGGGCGUAAAGGGCUCGUAGGUGGCCAACUAAGUCAGACGUGAAAUCCCUCGGCUUAACCGGGGAACUGCCUUUGAUACUGGCGAUCUCGAGUCCGGGAGAGGUGAGUGGAACUGCGAGUGUAGAGGUGAAAUUCGUAGAUAUUCGCAAGAACACCAGUGGCGAAGGCGGCUCACUGGCCCGGUACUGACGCUGAGGUGGCGAAAGCGUGGGGAGCAAACAGG